AGAUGUUAAAAGCCAGAGACAUGGGAGAUCAUCAUUCUUUUGAGAUUUUAUAACUCAAACCAACUUUGGAGAUGUCUGAUUUGGAGAGUCAUCAUUCUUGGUCUUCCCUCUUAAAGGCCACUGAUGAAGAGUAGGCGGUGACUGGGAUGAAUGCUUGUCAGAGAAGAUAUUGUCCUUUCCCCUAAACUGAUGCAGCAGUGGUUUUAAAAGAGGACGCUGCCCUGGAUGUAGAAGAUGUCACAUGUGCUGAUGGGGCUUCUUCAUGACUACAUCCAUUAUGCUAAAGAGAUCAUGAAAGUUGACAGUGAUGCAUGAUCUGUAUUCAUGGACUAUGAAACAAACUGUAAGUGCAUCACUUGUAAAAACAAUGUUAAAUGCUUGUUCUGUGUUUAGUAGAAGAGUUUACACUCUGUCAUUCAUACACAUGCUCACAUUCUUUCACACACACGUCUGUUAAAUGUUAUAUCAAUGUUAAUGUUGUGGUUUAUUUGUGUACUGUCAUGCUAGAAUAGUUGGUAAAAAACCUAACUAAUUGUAC